rnacentral:rRNA from 1 species
CAGUAGCCGCGGGAAUACGUAGGGUGCGAGCGUUAAUCGGAACUACUGGGCGUAAAGCGUGCGCAGGCGGUUCGUUAAGUCUGUUGUGAAAGCCCCGGGCUCAACCUGGGAAUGGCAAUGGAUACUGGCGAGCUAGAGUGUGUCAGAGGAUGGUGGAAUUCCCGGUGUAGCGGUGAAAUGCGUAGAGAUCGGGAGGAACAUCAGUGGCGAAGGCGGCCAUCUGGGACAACACUGACGCUGAGGCACGAAAGCGUGGGGAGCAAACAGGAUUAGAUACCCCUGUAGUCCCUGUCUCUUAUAA